rnacentral:misc_RNA from 1 species
GAUCAGUUUGCGGCGAGUUCCCUUGCAUAUUCCUAACCAAACGAAAACGAUUUCUGGAGUACUGGUCCAAUGCCUGUACAGUGUACACAUUACAGCAACUCUCAAUGCUGAACUAAGGAGGCCAAUUCAACAGCCUGUCUGAUGUCCGACAGAGUUUUUGGUUUGAAAUUGGCACUGAUUUAUGAUACAGAUAGCACUAAUAGAAGUGUGUUGUAUGUUAAUAGUUCAACUGUUCAAGGAAUGAACACUACUAUUAUUAUGCAUGCAAGGCUAGAGAUGAAAUGGUCACAAGAUCAAACAGCUUAAUUUUCUAAUCCCAUGUGUCAACUCCGGAUGGUUCAGUUAUACUUCAUACUGAAAUGCUAUCCUGAAAAUGGAAGAAACUUACUCCUACUCGGUAUUUGCACCAACCCUGGAAUGGAGAAAGCAAGGCUGAAGAUCCAGAGUCUUCUUGAAUGCAUGAAUCAGGCGUCAUCUCUCACUUUCCUACUUGAACAUAUAAUAUCUUCUGCUAAAAUUGUUGUACCUGUUGAUGUGGUUUGCUAAUGGACCGCUAAAUGAAGAUGUGAAAUUGAAACUCUGCAGAGAUACAAGAGUUGGAGAUCCUCAAGAAAGGAACUUGCAGAAGAAAGAAAUCGUUGAUCUCUCACCUGCAAUACAACGAUAUCCAGAUCACUAGAGAAAAUACAACCAACAGAUCUUCCGGUGAAUUCCAUUGUUCAGCAGCCAUUCUAAC